GUGGGGAAUAUUGCACAAUGGGCGGAAGCCUGAUGCAGCAACGCCGCGUGCGGGAUGACGGCCUUCGGGUUGUAAACCGCUUUCAGCAGGGACGAAGCGUGAGUGACGGUACCUGCAGAAGAAGCACCGGCUAACUACGUGCCAGCAGCCGCGGUGAUACGUAGGGUGCGAGCGUUGUCCGGAUUUAUUGGGCGUAAAGAGCUUGUAGGCGGUUGGUUGCGUCGAAAGUGCAAACUCAGGGCUUAACUCUGAGCCUGCUUUCGAUACGGGCUGACUGGAGGAAGGUAGGGGAGAAUGGAAUUCCCGGUGGAGCGGUGGAAUGCGCAGAUAUCGGGAGGAACACCAGUGGCGAAGGCGGUUCUCUGGACCUUUCCUGACGCUGAGAAGCGAAAGCGUGGGGAGCAAACAGGCUUAGAUACCCUUGUAGUCC
rnacentral:rRNA from 1 species